CUUGUUUUGCUUGACUUCUUGGCCUCUGGGCCUGAGCCACUGAAAGACCAGCAAAUACCUGAAGAAGAAAUGACUUGUCACUUUUUUCGUUGGGAGUCCAGCUCUGCCAGCAUAGCCCAGAGUGGAAUUCCCUUUCAGUGUAACUGAGCAGAACACUGGACUGCCGAGGCCUGGAGGCAGAAGAACGAGGUCCGCACAGCUCAGUUCCAGCCCAAAUCCCUCCACCUGCUGAUCUGAUCAGACUCACGAUCCCCUGCCCUGGACACCUGAUCUCUCUGGCCUGCCUUCAGCGAGAAUCCCAAGCCCCAGUCCUGUGUGUUUUGCUCUGGGAGCGCAAAUGGGCGAAGACAGCAUCGCACAGCCCAAACCUCAGUGAAGACGUAAUGUGCGCGGAUUCAGUCCUCGGGCUUCUUUGCUGGUUUAUUUGUUUUCACUGCUGCAAGGCGGAGUCUAAGCUUCAUCGCUAGACCGUAAAACACAGACCACGGAUCAGAAUAGUCCUUCCUUGAAACCGUGAGCCCAUCUAACUUUAGUUACCUUUCACAAACAUCGGUGUCUCCCUCAAAGUAUUGUUAUAUCAUAUCUGGACACAAAA